CGCCAGACACUAUCAGAACUACUGAUAACACCAGUACAAAGAAUACCAAGGAUCAUAUUAUUACUACAAGAUUUAUUAAAGCGUACUGAUACUGGCCACAUUGAUUACAAGCAGUUGGAGGAAUCAGUUGAAAAACUUAAGAAUGUAAUGGAACACAUAAAUGAAGACAAGAGGAAGACAGAGAAGCAGAUGCACAUGUUUGAACUUAUACGUGACAUUGAGGACGUCCCGGCGACGGUCCUUUCAUCUCAUCGUUGGUUUAUUUCAAGACAUGAUGUGUUGGAGUUAAAUAUUAGCAAUAAUGGAAAGACUAAUAAACCAUUGUCUAUAGCAUUGUUCCUCUUCUCUGACAGCAUUGGGGUG